CGCGCCGCCACCGGAGAGGAGAGCGCGACCGCCCUGCCCACCGGCACGUGACCCGGCGCUGCCGCCGCCAUCUUAAGUCAGGGCAAGGGCGGGGCGACCCCCGCGGGGAUGGAGGCCGGGCGUGCGGCACACGCGGUGCUGGGCCGGCGCAGCACAGCCGCACUGAGAGGGGCACGGCAGCAUUUUGCCUGAAGAGGCAGCCUAUAAUACGUAUCACAGAAUGUCAGGGUGGAAGGGACUACAGUGCGUCAUCUGGUGGAACCUCCCUGCUUAAGCAAGGCUACCCCAGAGCGCAUUGCACAGGACCGCGUCCAGAGGGGUCUGGAAUAUUUCCUGUCAAGGGGACUCCACAGCCUCUCUGGACAAUCUGCUCCAGUGCUCAGUCACCUACAAAGUUUUCUCACUUAUAUGUCCAGUAAUACAAAAAAACCUUGCAAAGUACAAAAACUCAUCUGAGGGAAUGCCAGUCUUUUGUCACACUGACACACAAACAGAAUGAAAAUCACAUCCUUGAAGAGCCCAGCUACUCUAGGAAGAUUUGAAGUAUGUAUACCUGAAGAAAAGAACUUCCAUCACUUGGCAUAAGUUGUACAGGAAACAAGCCACAGAAACUUGAAAACAGCUUUUAGUUGACAUUGCAUUUCAAGUGAUAUGAAAACAUAAUUGCAGUAAUAGAGAUUUUCUGUAUAGAUAAGCUUUCAAACACAGCAUUGAACAGUUUAAUGCAGUGUUGGAUGUUUGGACAUCUGUAUGAAGGGCCUGAAGAACUGAUUCUACAUACCUACAUCUACAGGUUAAUGACAAAUCUGCCUAGGAGAGCUAUUCAACAGUCUUUGAGCAAUGGUGAUCAAUGGAAUGCCCAACAUUGAAAUCAUCAGUCUGAAUUUUCUCGAAAGCAUAAUGAUACUAGGGAUAUAAAUCCUAGUAAGUGCUUAUUUAGCCCAAGAAUAUAUUUAGUUGAAUUUAAUCCCUGUUAUCAGCAUGGUAUUUUUAUAUGACCAAGUCAUACACAGACCUAAACAGGUCAGACUUCUCAGCAGCUGUUUGAAAUUCAUGACACAUUCUGGACAGAAGCUGUCAAGGAGUGUAAUGAGUGCAGUUUUGAAGGAAGUAUCACUUAAUUGUGGCUGAUGCUGCUGAAUUAGUCAUAUGUCCUUACUGCCAGGAGACACCGUCAUGGAGCUUUAGCUCUUCUAUCAGGAUGGCAUGUUUUACAACAUGAAAUUAGAGAAACAGCUGCAGUAAUGAAAUCAUUCACAUUCUGCUCCUUACUCAUAAAUGUGCAAUAGCCAUUCCAAACAACACAGCACAAAAUAGAUUUUCUUUCCUGGGAGCAAAAUACGGCUCAAAACACAACAUGUUAAAUUUUGGAUUGUACAAAAUCUGUGUAACUAACAGCAUAGAAUAUUAAUAAUUAUUUAAUCAUUAUUAAUAUAUAAUAAAUUAUCGAUAUAAUAAAUUAAAUAAUUAAUUAAUAAUUAACAUAUCUAUUAAUUAGCUGAAAGCGUGUAAGUACAGAUAAAUCUUUUAUGAACACGUAUCUCUUGAAGAGGUCUCUUCACUUUCAAUGUUGGUGUGGUAGUGAAAAAUUGAUUCUAGAAUGUUAAAUUAAAAAUCACUGCAGAAGUGUUUUAAGCACAAAUUCAUAGUAAAUUUCACAUAGAUUUUAUCUG